rnacentral:rRNA from 1 species
GACGAACGCUGGCGGCGUGCUUAACACAUGCAAGUCGAACGGAAAGGCCCUGCUUGCCGGGUACUCGAGUGGCGAACGGGUGAGUAACACGUGGGUGAUCUGCCCUGCACUUCGGGAUAAGCCUGGGAAACUGGGUCUAAUACCGGAUAGGAGCCAUUUUUAGUGUGAUGGUUGGAAAGUUUUUUCGGUGUAGGAUGAGCUCGCGGCCUAUCAGCUUGUUGGUGGGGUAAUGGCCUACCAAGGCGGCGACGGGUAGCCGGCCUGAGAGGGUGGACGGCCACAUUGGGACUGAGAUACGGCCCAGACUCCUACGGGAGGCAGCAGUGGGGAAUAUUGCACAAUGGGCGCAAGCCUGAUGCAGCGACGCCGCGUGGGGGAUGACGGCCUUCGGGUUGUAAACUCCUUUGGCUAGGGACGAAGCUUUUUGUGACGGUACCUAGAUAAGAAGCACCGGCUAACUACGUG